AGCAGGUGAUGGCGAUUUAGCACUAAUCAAGGAACCAGAUUUACUGACUAGAUGCGCAUGAUCAUAUCGUUAGAUAUAUCGCCCAGCCCUAAUCCAGAUAUGCAAGGAUCACAAUCUGAGGAGGAGGUCAGUUUGGAACAGAUUAUCAAGUAGUUUAAGAAUGUCUGACAGAGGAGCAGAUCACAAAAAUAAAAGAAA